ACGGAAGGCAGCAGUGGGGAAUAUUGCACAAUGGGCGAAAGCCUGAUGCAGCGACGCCGCGUGAGUGAUGAAGUAUUUCGGUAUGUAAAGCUCUAUCAGCAGGGAAGAUAAUGACGGUACCUGACUAAGGAGCACCGGCUAAAUACGUGCCAGCAGCCGCGGUAAUACGUAUGGUGCAAGCGUUAUCCGGAUUUACUGGGUGUAAAGGGAGCGCAGGCGGUACGGCAAGUCUGAUGUGAAAGCCCGGGGCUCAACCCCGGUACUGCAUUGGAAACUGUCGAACUAGAGUGUCGGAGGGGUAAGUGGAAUUCCUAGUGUAGCGGUGAAAUGCGUAGAUAUUAGGAGGAACACCAGUGGCGAAGGCGGCUUACUGGACGAUAGCUGACGCUGAGGCUCGAAAGCGUGGGGAGCAAACAGGAUUAGAUACCCUGGUA
rnacentral:rRNA from 1 species